AUAGUGUUCACUUAAAUUUUGGUAUUACAUAGAGUGCAUUUUUAUUUUGUACUUGUUUGAAUCUUUGCAGACAGAGAUAUGGAGUCCUCAGCAGUAAUUCUCUUUCCUCUUCUGAUGAUGAGAAUUUUGAAAUACAGAAGUAUGAAGGUUGAGCUGAAAUCCUCAUGACCAACCAACAUCUUACAGGCCACGGUUCUUACUAAUUGAAGAGCCAGGAUCUGGGCGAGCUUCUGAUUUGGCAGCUGCAGUGAUACAUUCCCUGGAAAAGUUUCCAAUUUAUUCACUAGAUACACCAACUUUGUUUGCUAGUGCAUUACCAGAUGAAACAUGUACAGGUAGCUUUUUUGCUCAUUAGUCUCAUAGGAUAAAUGUAUAAACUAGUGAAGUUAGCAAAAGUCAUUGUCAAUAUAAGUGGCCUGAUUAAAUAUGCUGUUUUGUUUACUUUUGUCUGAAAAUCCACUUUUCCAAUGGAAUGAUACCACCUAAGAAUUUUAUACAUAGCCAUGUUACCCAUUUGAAAUAUAAUAGGGAGAACAUUACUAGCAGCUCAGGAAGAUGGGAAGUGCUGCUAAUAAACCCCUUUCUGCGGCAAGAAAUCCUGCUGGUCUUACGUGUCUUUUCUGCCUAAAAGGCACACUUUCAAAGCUGCUGAGCUUUUUCAGGUGUGUUGAAUUACAGUCUUUUGUUGCAUGACAGAGCUACUUCUUGGCUCACAAACUGUAAUUCCUCCUAAGUGUGACAGCACAAGUUCUUUUUUUUUUAAAUCUUAUUAGCAGUGCUGAGCCAUCACACAAACUGAACCAGUAGACUUUAGAAUGAGUUAUAUUAAAAUUCUCACAACUAUGAAACAUACAUUUAGUUAUAAUAGAGGUUAUAUAGUAUUAUAUACAGUUACUUUGGAACAAAGUGGAAGGCAAUUGUUUAAUAUUCUUGAUAUAUCUGUAUAUUUUAGCAUCAGCUAAAAUUCUGCUCUGCUGUAAUUACCUUUUCAUAUUAGUCAAUGGCAAUAGUUAAGAGA